GGACCACUCAGAGGCGAAGGAUCAAAUGAACCGAUGCCUCCCUAGCGGAGGGAGAGGGGUCGUGGUAAGCGGUGCCAGCUGGUAACCUCCUGUGCCGCAGGCCGGACGCCAGGGGCGCGGCGGUCUACGCAUGUGCCGCGCUCACGGGUGGGUGCCCGCCGUCCCGCGGCUCCCCCGGGGCUGCCGCGACAGCUGCCAGUGGAGUAGGGCUGGCAGCCGCCCCGGAAGGAGACAUCUGCCCGGGCUGUCGCCGCGGCGGAAGAGCAGGGGGCAGCUGCAUAUGGAAGCAGAGACAAGGACAGGAGCAGAGGAGACCGCAGGACCGCCCUCGCCCUCGCCCUCGUUGCCCGCCCCCCAAGCCGCGGUGCUGCCAGAGCACUUCUGAGAAGAAGACUGCAGGCCUCGAGGGACAGCCAAAGGCGCCACGGCUCAAAAAAGGACUGAGGUUGGGAUCACUGGAGAUAAUGGACAAGACGUUGAUUUUCGUACAGCAAAGCCCACUUGACAAUGUGGAAGAUAGUUUCAUUACUAUUGUAUUGGUCUGCUUUCCAGGAGGGCAGCUCACUGAGAGUGAGGGAGACAAGGAGCAUGUCAGUUUCAAAGGGAUGAGUUUGGAGGAAAAGGUGCCAUCUGUGGUGAUCCUGUCGAGGUUAGGUGCUGCAGUGGGAAGCUCCUGACAUCCUGAAUAUGACCUCAGAGUCUCGGGAAUCUGGAGAAGACAGCCUAAGUGGGGAGGAGAGAAAAUGAAGUGGGAGAUGCAAAACCGCUUCGCUUAUUUCACAUCUUGUCAGGUGCCGGCUCAGCCCACCACUGAGACAGGUGACAAAGAAACAGCGAACCCUCUACAAGCUCCUGUGUGUAUAUUUCAGACUCGGCAGGAGGAUGGACCACUGACGAAGUAUAAUAUAGACCAGCAGGCAGGGUGGGAGACACCCUAAAGGAAAACAAGGAAACAGGCUGUGCAGUUGGACCUGGCCUCCUGGGAUGGACUGGCUGACUGGCACCAGGCGAUGUAAGAAACAUGAAAAGGACCAGGACCAAGGUGGUAAAACCUAAGAGAUCUGUGAGUUGAGGAGCAUUCUCUGGAUUUACGAGUGGAAGCAUCACGUUAUCUGUGCCUCUUCUCCAUGGAUGCAGGACAUUGCAAUGACAACAGGUGACCUACAAGGGGGGCCACAGGGCUCACUUAUACUGCUUGUCCACUCUCAGUUAACUUCUGCUCAUCUUUUCUACUCCUCCCCUUAAUGAUUUUUGGUGUUUUGUUUUACCAAGAUCCAGAUGAUGUUGUAAAUUUACCAUUCCCACAAUAAAUCUUCUCUAAAAACAUCAAAUAUCAGUGAUGGGUAACAUACAAAAAGAAGACACUAAUGGAUCAUAGACACAUUUGAAAAUAAGACAAAAUUUCCAUGGUCCAGAAGUAUAACAGAAACACAACUUAGAGGGACGUGCUGAAGUCACGGGCCUUCUGGCCUUAGGUGUUGAAGUAGGUACAAUGGAUGGGAGUUUAUAUUCUGCAAAGUUAUGGGCACUAAAACCACUUCACUUGGGGCAGGGGAUCUGAGCCAGGCGCAUUGAUUGAAACUAGGUGCUAGGAUGGGGCUCCCCCUGCAGUGAUGGAAGCUAGAAGAACUUACUACUGAUUGCUUAUUCUGUUUGAGGGCCCC
rnacentral:lncRNA from 1 species